rnacentral:rRNA from 1 species
CGUAGGUGGCGAGCGUUGUCCGGAAUUAUUGGGCGUAAAGGGCGCGUAGGCGGCUCUUUAAGUCAGAUGUGAAAACCCAGGGCUUAACUCUGGGAGUGCAUUUGAAACUGAAGAGCUCGAGUGCAGGAGAGGUAAGUGGAAUUCCUAGUGUAGCGGUGAAAUGCGUAGAUAUUAGGAGGAACACCAGUGGCGAAGGCGACUUACUGGACUGUAACUGACGCUGAGGCGCGAAAGCGUGGGGAGCAAACAGGAUUAGAUACCCUGGUAGUCCACGCUGUAAACGAUGGAUACUAGGUGUGGGAGGUAUCGACCCCUUCCGUGCCGCAGUUAGCACAAUAAGCACUCCGCCUGGGGAGUACGGCCGCAAGGUUG